rnacentral:tRNA from 1 species
GGAAGGGUGCGAGAGUGGUUGAAUCGGGCAGUCUUGAAAACUGCUGUGGGAGAGAUCUCACCGUGGGUUCGAAUCCCACCCCUUCCGCCA